rfam:Felis catus isolate Cinnamon breed Abyssinian chromosome B1, whole genome shotgun sequence.
GCCUAGGUGGCUUAGUUGAUUAAGCGUCUGACUUCAGCUCAGGUCAUGAUCUUGAGGUUUGUGAGUUCAAGCCCCGUGUUGGGCU